rnacentral:pre_miRNA from 1 species
CAAGUACUCCCUCCGUCUGGAAUUACUUGUCAUCAAAAUGGAUGUGUCUAGAACUAAAAUACAUCUAGAUACAUCCAUUUCAAUGACAAGUAUUUUCGGACGGAGGGGGUACAAG